rfam:Homo sapiens chromosome 20, GRCh38 reference primary assembly.
GCUGGGCACGGUGGCCCAUGCCUGUAAUCCCAGCACUUUGGGAGGCCGAGAUGGGCGGAUCACCUGAGGUCGGGAGUUCAAGACCAGCCUGACCAACAUGGAGAAACCCCAUCUCUA